GGCAGAAGCUUUACCAGCUUGUAGCCUGAUCUUGUCAGAUCUCAUAAGCUAAGCAAGCCUAGACCUAAUCAGAAGUGAGAUGGAAGACAUAAACAAAUAGGUUGCUUCUGCAC
rnacentral:rRNA from 1 species